GUGCUUGCUUUAGCAAAACAUAUACUAAAAUUGGAACCAUAUGGAGAAGAUUAGCAUGGCUUCUGCACAAGGAUGACAUGCAAAUUCAUGAAGCAUUCCAUAUGUUU
ensembl:snRNA U6 U6 spliceosomal RNA